CCGGGUAGGCUACCUCAGACUCCGCCGGAAAGGUUCCGGACAGGUGCUACUUGUAGGAAAGCGGGAAAGGUCGGCCCCUAAUGCCAGCGACUUGGAGCUCCGCUAAUGUCAAGGCACUUACUUACCCUAGUUGACUUGGACACUAUGAAAGAGAAUUGGAGAAAUGGACUGAGUUCCCCGGGAGAGGUCCAUCAGACAACUGCGGUGACAUACACAAAGCAAUUAGCGAAGGCCAGCUGAUGAAAGCUACACCUCCAGCAUAAGAAAUAAAACACUUAAGGACAUUGCCAAAUAGGAAUUGAUUUGAGAGGUGGAAAGUCUUUAGGAGUUUACAGCUGAAGUCACAUGGAGAUAAGAGGAAGACCUUCUACGAUGGAGAACCACCAUAGAGGCCGCGUGCUGUGGCUGUAAUCCCAGUGGCUCAGAAGACUGAGACAGGAGGAUCAUGAGUUCAAAGCCAGCCUCAGCAACAGCAAGGUCCAAAAGAAACUACUGGAAGCCUCAAGACAAAAGACCACAGAGGCCAGCAGGCUGAGGCAGGAGCUGGGUGAGAAAGUGGAAGAGUGAACUCAGGGGGCAUUAAAAGUCCCUGUCGUGUCAGACACUGAACAAAACUUCUGUACAGUGCACUUGCCCUCUUCUGCUUGUAGUCUUAAAGGGAAAAGUGGACUUUGAUCAGUGAAUCAUGAGAAAGCGAAAGGCCUACUGUAGAAAUGCUGGACACCUCCCACCCCAUUCCUUAAGUCCAAGGCUCCUCUCUUCCCACAGGUCCCUCUCCACAAGGACUCUCAGCUAUAACUAGGCAGUCUCCUGUCACAUACUGCUGGGAAACUCAGAAGGACUGUGCUCUUGCUGGUGUGUGACACUGAAGCCAGAAUUAGGCAGUGUAGAUAGGUAAAUCGAGUCAGGUCAGAUCAAGGAGGCCAAUUUUUUUUUUUAAAUAACUUUAUUUAUU